GACGAACGCUGGCGGCGCGCUUAACACAUGCAAGUCGAGCGAUGAAACUCUAACAGAACCCUGCGGGGCGGUGAUAAAGUGGAUUAUCGGCGGACGGGUGAGUAACACGUGAGUAACCUGCCUUACACAUUAGUAUAGCCUCGGGAAACCGGGAUUAAUACCAAAUAAAAUCAUAAUGACACAUUUCAUAACGAUCAAAACUCCGGUGGUCUAAGAUGGACUCGCGUCCCAUUAGCUAGUUGGUAGAGUAAAAGCCUACCAAGGCGACGAUGGGUAGCCGGCCUGAGAGGGUGAACCGUCACAUUGGAACUGAGACACGGUCCAAACUCCUACGGGAGGCAGCAGUGGGGAAUAUUGCACAAUGGAGGGAGCUCUGAUGAAGCGACGCCGCGUGAAAGAAGAAGCCUUUCGAGUAGUAAAGUUCUUUUAUAUGGGGAGAUAAUGACGGUACUAUGAGAAAAAGCCCCGGCUAACUACGUG
rnacentral:rRNA from 1 species